UUUGUGAUGUUUUUGUUGUGUUGUGUUCAGGUCCAGCAGUUCCUCUGCAGGUUUGAGAGCAUCCCCGACAUGUUGGAGCUGGACCAUCUCACCGUGUCCGGAGACGUGACCUUCGGGAAGAACGUCUCUCUGAAGGGAACCGUCAUCAUCAUAGCCAAUCACGGAGACCGGAUCGAUAUCCCCGCCGGAGCGAUGCUGGAGAACAAAAUUGUUUCUGGAAACCUGCGGAUCCUCGACCACUGAGGCAUUCUGGGAGAAAGAAAAGCGAUUUCAAACAAGCCAUUUGCACCUUGAAGAGAAUCUAAGAGGAUUUCUUCUGCUCUAAUGAACUAUCACACGUUGGUUUCUUUGAAUGUAAAGACAACCUGAAGGGUCAAAGGUCAACGUCUUCCUGUCUGCAGACACGGGGGAACGUCCUGUUUCUGAAAACACCGUUUGACCUCUGUGGUGUUUCUGCUGUCAAUAAAAAAAGUGCAAUACCUUCAA